rnacentral:rRNA from 1 species
UACGUAGGGUGCAGGCGUUAAUCGGAAUUACUGGGCGUAAAGCGCACGUAGGCGGAUACUUAAGUCAGGGGUGAAAUCCCGGGGCUCAACCCCGGAACUGCCUUUGAUACUGGGUAUCUCGAGUCCGGAAGAGGUGAGUGGAAUUCCGAGUGUAGAGGUGAAAUUCGUAGAUAUUCGGAGGAACACCAGUGGCGAAGGCGGCUCACUGGUCCGGUACUGACGCUGAGGUGCGAAAGCGUGGGGAGCAAACAGG